rnacentral:rRNA from 1 species
GGAUGAAAUAAGCUGAAGAAACACCACGGCGGUGCGAACCCGGAAGCUAAGACCCACAGCGCCGAUGGUACUGCACCCGGGAGGGUGUGGGAGAGUAGGUCACCGCCGGACA